UCGGCACUAAUCAAAUCCGGAGGGACGCUGAGCACCCUGAGUCGUCAUGGGCAACGAGAACAGCUCCUCAGGCAACCAGCAAGAGGACUCUGGCUUGAAUAACGUCAUCCUGUGGCCUCCAAACCCUGAGCCUCUGCAGAAGACUUCUUUGGCGCGAAGUUCAGGAUCUGUGCAACCGCCUGGGAACAGUCAGAGAGUAGAAAGGAAGCCCGAGGAGGCAUCCGAAGGCACGGACCCAGGAGACCGGCCCAGCAUCUGGCAUGGAGGUUCCAGCUCUGCUCCUGAGGGUGCUGCCACUCCAGACCCCUGCCUCGUGUCCCCAGAGGUGACUGAGCCGAGAGAGCACCCACAGGCAGCCAGGGGUCCAGAAGAUUCUCCACGUCCCAGCACACCGGAGCCCCAGGAGUGGGAGAGUCCCUCGUCUUCCAUGCGCUUUGCCGAGGGCCCCCCGGAAGGUUGCUUGGCAAGCCCAGAAGGGGAACCUGAAGGUUGGCCCCUGGUUCAACACUCUCGGAGGGAACUUUCUCCAAAUGGCCCAGGAGAGGCCUCGGCAGCCUCUGUCCCUCAGGACGACAACUUGACUCAGCGCAAGGUGGUUUCUGUCAUCCCCAGUGCCGAAGGAGAGACAGGCUUGAAGGAAGAAGAAGGGCAGAGACUGUCUUCCUCCAGCUCCACUGACCAGUUGGCAGGAAUUCCACCAACUGCUCCUCCAGAGCCCAUGAAGGUGCAGCUGCCUGGAGAGGAUGCCCGGCCUGGUGAUUUCAAGUCCCAAGGGCAAGAGGCUGCAGCUGGCUUACCACGGCCAGAGUCCCGGCAGGGAACCCCCAAGGCCCCUGCUGCCCACCUAGGCCAGGAGAGCUCAGCCAGCCUGGAGGAGCCUCCCCUAAAACCUGAGAUCUCAACCUCGCAAGAGCCAGCCCCCGAAUGCCCAGUGGAGGGGCCACCUCAGGAUUUCACCGAUGACACGGGAUUCCUCGGGGCCUGCCCUCCCACUGGGACCAGUUCAGGGGCUGCCCAAGAAGCCAAAGCGAAGUCCGAUUUCCAGGAAAGCUGCCAGCAGCCGAUGGGAGCACUCCCACCCACAGGGCUGCCCUGGGAUUCACUGGGUCCUGCCCUGGUGCCGGGGGCCAAGGGCUCUUGGGAGGAGACUCUGGGUGCCCUUGAUGCUCAGGGUCACUCACAGACCAGGAGCCAAGAUGCUCAGCCUAGUCAAGUCACCUGGGCAGCAAUAGGUGAUCAGCCCGAGGGAAUUUUGUUCAUGAGCCCUGAGUCUGCCCCACACGCCGCAACUGAGGAUGUGGGUCCAGCUUCAAGCCUCCCCUCCCAGCCAGCUGCUCUGGCCUCCGUGGCUGCAGAACAAGCCAAGGAGAUGGUUUCCAUGGCCGAGAUGCCUGUUCUCACAGAUCUGGCUACAGAGUGGGCAGAAGCAGGGUUGUCAGGACCGGAGAAGCAAGCAUCAGACCUCAGAGGAGAAGGAGAGGGUCUGGAAGGAGGCUCCAGAGAGAUUCCUGCUCCUGCCCCCCCGAAGGAGAGGGCAGAGCUUGGGAACAGGGAGCUAAGCCAUGAAGUCCAUCCAAAGGUUCCAGCUCUCCCCACUCCCAGUGCAUCAGAUGAGAGUGCCAGCAGGUCACCAGGGCCGAAGGAUGAAGCUGAGCCCCCCGAAGGCCCAGCUGUGGCUAACGAGGAAAGCAAAGUCGCUGGGGCUGAUCCUAGAGGACAGAGAGCAGCCCCAGGGCCCCUUGAUGGUGCAGAUACUGGGAAUCUACAGGCAGAACAACCUGAGGCCUGGGACUGCAAGCCUGACCCAGAGGUGGACAAGGACGAGGUUUCACAGCUGACUGGCGAUGAGGAGAGCAAAGGCCUUCCGAACACAGUCCUAGCACAGCCACUUGGAGAGGAGAUCCCCGGGCACACGGACAGGUCUGACUGUCCCUUAGAAGAUGCAGCUUGGAACGUGGUGGCCCGUGGGAUGAUGGGAGAAUCUCAAGUGGUCCACGCAUCGGGCUCACUGCACCAGCUCCCUGAACAGCAUCCCAGCCCACCCUCUGGGCCAGAAGGAGCUGGUGAAUGUGUUCUUCCCCGGGGAACCAUCUGGGCAGGGCCGGAACCACAGACCAAAUGUCCCGACACCCUUCAGGACGUGGAGGGACUGGGAAGAAUGGACUCUCUUCCUGCUUUAGAAUCUGAGAAAUCAGAUUUCCUGUCGGCUCCUGCUCCAGAGGUCGUCCCCAAAGCCCAGGAGGCGGAGAGCAUGCCUGAAAUAAAGUCAGGGAGCCACCCAUCUGCACAGAGGCCCGGCCAUAGGGAGGGGGAGGGCUUGCUAAGAUCUCCCCACCCCCGUGGGCUGGGGCGUGACACAGCUGGACAGGAAGUCCUUGCUGAUGGGCCCCCUCCCCCUGAGGAGGAGAACUGGGCAGUGGACUGCAGGCUCACGACGCUCAGCCUGGAGCAAGGUCGGCAGGGAAACCUAUCCCACCCGGGGGACAGCGGUAUAGAAGUGACUGCAUCCGAGAGGCCCUUACUGUGUCCUGAGAACCAUCUCCAAACAUCCCAGACACACCCAGACGCAUUGGUCUUCAAUAUGCUCAGGGAGACAUCCCAAGGGUGCGGAAGCAAAGAAGAGGCUUAUCCAGGUGAUACGGAUUUUAAGAACCUGGGUGCCGAUUCUCCACAAAUCCACACACCCGUGGGACCGCGGGAAGAUGUGAACUUGUCCACUCAUGGAGGCAAGCAACCGGCUUCUGAAACGGAACUUCAAAGUGAGCUCCCCAAAGGCAGUCUGUCUGAUGCUCCGAGUUCACCUCCUGGGGGCACAGUUCUGGAGAAUCCUGAGACCGAGAAGUCGCAGUUGUCAGCACCCAUGAAGCCUGAGUUGCCUGCACUCAGGGAGAAGGGGCAAGAGGGAGAAUGCAGCGGCAGUCAGCCGUCCAGGAGCUUAUCUCCUGCAGCAGACACUUCCCAAGACCCUUCUCUUGCAGGUAGCUUGAGCAGAAAGGAAUAUAGCUGUGCUGGGCAGGGGCCAAACGAGUCCCAACAGGAGCUGGUUGACGGGCUGAACACCGGCAGCCAGCAUGAAGAAGCAUGUCUUGAGGACGCAGGCAUUUCAGGAGCAGCUGACGCUUGGCCCCAGCUCCAGGAUUUGGGCAAGACAGAGAAGGCAAGUGGAAACACCGUGGGGGCCCCGCCUUGUUGGCCUGACUCAGUAGCUCUCCCGGAGGCAGCUCACAGCCAGUCAGUUCCAGCACCUGCCAGCCCCCGAGCCACACCCGCCCAGGAUGCCCCAGUGAGAGAGGCAGGUGAAGAAACCCAGGAGGGCAGGCAGCAACCGGGGUUGGUCCCACAGAAGGAAAUGGAGCACCUCACUGCCUCAGAUGCAGAGGUCCUGGAGCUUUCUGGAAUUUUCCCAUCAGCCAAGGAUCAAGGUGUGGAUGGUGCUGAGACUUGCGGGAAGGCGGACGGAGGAGCCCUGGGGAUGUGGCAGGCUCCGGGGGAGCCAGGCUCCCUCCGAACAGAGCAGCACUCUUCCCCUGGGGAGGAAGCCUCUACCUCUGCUCUAGGUGAGCAGCACUUGGCCAGCUGCCAGGAUGCCUGGCCACUAGCCAGGGAGCUGGCUGAGAGUCCCAGAAGCGUGGCAGAUCUUUCUGCAGCACAGGUUGUCCCUGACCCACAGAGGCUCCUGCCGUCUGGACCCCCGGAGGAGGCUGCCCCUGGUACUCCUUACCUGCACAUCGAGGGUGCUGCCAGGAAAGGGCUGGAAGACAGUGUUGUGAAAGCUGUUUCACCCCAAGGCCCCGGAGCCCCUGGGGAAAGCCCUUGUUCCACUCGGGAGCCCCUGCUUGCCUCGGAAAUAGCCUCCUCCAGGGAGGGCUCUGCUGAGUCCUCCUUCUUGCAAGCAGGAGCUGCAGGUGAGGGAAUCUCUGCAGCACCAGCCAGCCUUGGAAGCUCCAAAGCUGCGACCUCGGAGGGUCCUGUGGACUCUGUACCGUACUUGGACAGGAUGCCGUUUCUGGCCAAGACUAAGGAGACCACAGGGGAGGAGAAAUGGUCAGGAGCUCCCGGUGCAAGUGCUGAGCCCGGCGAAAUUCCAGCAUGCCCCGUCAGUGAGGAGAGCAAGGCAGGGGAAGCAGCAAGAGAGACCGAGGGCAGCGGGGAGAGGAUGCUAGAGCCUUCCAAGGAUCCCAGGCAGGGAGCAUCAGCUGGUGUAGACGCAAGCUGCAGGCAGACUGGGAUGCUCGCUGGGUUGCCUGAUUUCAGGGAGCACAUCACCAAGAUCUUCGAGAAGUCUGUGCUUGGAGCCCUGACCGCCGAUUGGCCCCAGAGCACACAGGGAGAAAAGGCGGGAGCCGGGAAGAGGGUGAUGGGCAAGGGCCUCAUGGUGCCAAGCCCAGAGAAGCUUCCAGAUGGGACUCAAGGAGUGGCCGUCACCCCUCUCCCCACCCUUCCUACUGGUCUCUGGGUGGACUCAAAGGAGAAGAAGCAAGAGCUGGCCGUAGAGGCUGAGAUUUCUCGUCUGGGUCCCCAGGAUCCAGCUCUAGGAGAGCUGCCCGGGCUGGCCUGGCUGGCCGCAGAGCACACCCUGCCGGGCGCCAGUGAUGGAAAGGAAGUAAGCGAGGCCCCGCAGGUGCUGGCGGACAGCAAGAAGCUGGAGGGGGCUGGAGAAGGCUGGUGGCGGGGACCUGGAGGAGGCCAGGCCCAUUCACAGCAGGCAGGUGGCCCACAGGAAGCAGCUUCAGAUCUGUCUUCACAGGCGGCUUCUCCAGAGGCUUCCGGGGCUGACUUGCAGGUGGCUCCCCAGAGCCAUGCAGAAGGGGACUCUGGUCCAGAUGACAGCAUUCCUUCUGGAAAACAGAGCCAGGAAACAGCCCACCAGGACAGUCAACCCAGAGAAGAUGGUCCCCGGGGCUCUUCUCACCCCCGGGCUCUGGGUGACAUGCCAGGAUCCACCUCUGCCUGGGGAGCAUCUCCCCACGGGGACGUCCCACCUCUGCCCGAGGCCGUCGGUCAGCCCUGCACCCCAGACCCACUUGGGGGUGAGAGGAGGCGUGCAGGUGCAGCUGGCAUCUCGGAAACACAAGAUGCCCUGGGCACCCAGGGCGUCCGGGAGCCCCCAGCUGGGGAAGUGGCAGAUAAUCCGCUGGAGCCCGGCUUGGAAGCUGGAGCUGCUGGGGAAGCAGAGGGUGACGUCACUGUGAACACAGCUGGGACCCGGACAUGUGUGUCUGAGGACCUGCCUGAAACAGGUACUACGAGAAUGUUCUCUGGUGCGGCUGUUGCCUCGGCUGUGCCAGGAAGCCCUGGGGACCCAGGCUGCUCAGAAGGGGCUCUGAGGAUGGAUGCUGAAGUCGCCCCAGGUGGGGGCCGCCCGGCCGGGCCCCCACAGGCUGAGGAGCAACCCAGGCCUGAGUUCCCUGCUUUUGCGGAGGAUGGGAAGAUAGGUGUCUCCUCACCCACAGAACCUGACAAAACUCGGGACCUGAAGCUGCAAAACCUGGAUCCAGAAGCACUGGAUGCUGAGAGAAAGAUCCCCAAGGCUGGCCCAUCUACGUUACCUUUGGUUCCUGAGAAGGAUGCUCCAGACAUCACGGACGAGGUUAUUUCAGAUGAUGCCAGCAGUGCGGGAGGAGCAGAAAGUUCACUUGUACCAGAUGGUGUCAUCCAGCCGGCUGCCCUUGAAGACCUGGAAAAUUCACUCUUAGCUGCCUCGACCUCCCACAGUGAUGUCAGCGGCCAGGUCUCCACGGAUCUGACAGCCCAGAGCACCAUCCCAGCUGCCGCCCGUGUGGAUCUCACUGCCCCAGCCUCAGAAUACGCAUCUUUGCCUUCCGCCCCAGCUGGUGAUGGAGUCGAAGCUUCCGUUCCCUCCUGCCAACGUCUGGCCAAGGACUUAAGCAGGAGUUCUGACUCUGAAGAAGCAUUUGAGACUCCGGAGUCCACGACCCCCGUCAAAGCUCCACCAGCCCCACCCCCGCCACCCCCCGAAGUCAUUACAGCACCUGAGGUCAGCGUGCAGGCUCCCCUGGAAGAACCAGGAUGCAGCUCUGAGCCGGCCUCCGUCCCCGAUGGCCCCCGCAGCAGCUCCGUGGAGGGCAGUCCUUUCCAUCCCCCACCACACUCCUUCUCCGCCGUCUUCGAUGAAGACAAGCCGAUAGCCAGCAGCGGGACUUACAACUUGGACUUUGACAACAUCGAGCUAGUGGAUAACCUUCAGACCUUGGAGCCUCGCCCCUCAGACCCUAAGAAUCAGGACUGCAAGGUGAACUCACGGAGGAAGUCCACGGACUCCGUCCCCACCUCUAAGUCGACGUUGUCCCGCUCGCUCAGUCUGCAAGCCAGUGACUUUGAUGGUGCUUCUUGCUCAGGCAACCCCGAGGCCACGGCCCCGGUCGCGGAUGCGUACAGCGCGGGUUCGAGCAGUGCUUCCAGUACCCUUAAGCGAACUAAGAAACCGAGGCCACCUUCCUUAAAAAAGAAACAGACCACUAAGAAACCCCCUGAAACGCCCCCAGUGAGAGAGACGCAGCACGAGCCGACCGGAGAGAGCCCUGACCCCAGCGAAGAGAAUCAAACAGCCGGAACGAGACCAGAACCUGCCAGGGCAGAAGGCUCCAGAUCAGCCUUAUCGGAGGAGGCACCCCCAGAGCCUGCUGCUGCCCCCAAGGCGGCCUGCCCCCUGGACUGUGAGGCUGCAGAAGGGGCCGUCCCCCCAGCUUCGGGGGGUGGCAGAGUGCAGAACUCACCUCCCAUUGGAAGGAGAACCCUGCCUCUGGCCACAGCCCCUGAGGCAGUGGAGGUGACCCCAUCAGAUAGUGGGGGGCAAGAGGACUCCCCAGCCAAAGGCCUCUCAGUGAGGCUGGAGUUUGACUAUUCUGAGGACAAGGGUAGUUGGGACACCCAGCAGGAAACCCCGCCUCCCACUAAAAAGAUAGGCAAAAAGCCGGUUGCCAAAAUGCCCCUAAGGAGGCCAAAGAUGAAAAAAACACCCGAGAAACUCGACAACACCCCUGCCUCGCCUACCAGGUCCCCUGCUGAACCCAAUGACAUCCCUAUCGCUAAAGGUACCUACACCUUUGAUAUUGACAAGUGGGAUGACCCCAAUUUUAACCCUUUUUCUUCCACCUCAAAAAUGCAGGAGUCUCCCAAACUGCCCCAACAGUCCUACAACUUUGACCCGGACGCCUGUGAUGAGUCCACUGAUCCCUUUAAGACGUGCUCUAAGGCCCCCAGCUCACCUUCUAAAUCCCCAGCCUCCUUUGAGAUCCCAGCCAGUGCCGUCGAAGCCAAUGGAGUGGACGGGGAUGGGCUGAACAAGCCCGCCAAGAAGAAGAAGACGCCCCUUAAGACUGACACAUUUAGGGUGAAAAAGUCGCCAAAACGGUCUCCUCUCUCUGAUCCACCUUCUCAGGACCCCACCCCCGUGGCCACGCCGGAAACGCCACCCGUGAUCUCAGCGGUGGUCCACGCAACUGACGAGGAGAAGCUGGCGGUCACCAAUCAGAAGUGGACGUGCAUGACGGUGGAUCUGGAGGCUGACAAACAGGACUACCCCCAGCCCUCGGACCUGUCCACCUUUGUGAAUGAGACCAAAUUCAAUUCACCCACGGAGGAGUUGGAUUACAGAAACUCCUAUGAAAUCGAAUAUAUGGAGAAAAUCGGUUCCUCCUUACCUCAGGACAACGAUGCCCCGAAGAAGCAGGCCUUGUACCUUAUGUUCGACACGUCUCAGGAGAGCCCGGUCAAGUCUCCCCCCGUCCGGAUGUCCGAGUCUCCAACGCCGUGUUCAGGCUCAAGUUUCGAGGAGACUGAAGCCCUUGUGAAUACCGGGGCAAAGAUCCAACAUCCCGUUGCACGAGGGCUGGCCCCCAACCAGGAGCCACACUUGCAGGUGCCAGAGAAGUCCUCCCAGAAAGAGCUGGAGGCCAUGGCCUUGGGCACCGCGUCGGAAGUGAUGGAAAUUAGAGAAGCUGCUCACCCACCGGAUGUCUCCAUCUCCAAAACAGCCUUGUAUUCCCGCAUCGGGACGGCCGAGGUGGAGAAACCCGCAGGCCUUCUGUUCCAGCAGCCCGACCUGGACUCCGCGCUCCAGAUCGCCAGGGCAGAGAUCAUAACCAAGGAGAGAGAGGUCUCAGAGUGGAAAGAUAAAUAUGAAGAAAGCAGGCGGGAAGUGAUGGAAAUGAGGAAAAUCGUGGCCGAGUAUGAGAAGACCAUUGCCCAGAUGAUAGAGGAUGAACAGAGGGAGAAGUCGGUCUCCCACCAGACCGUCCAGCAGCUGGUCCUGGAGAAGGAGCAGGCCCUGGCCGACCUGAACUCGGUGGAGAAAUCCCUGGCCGAUCUCUUCAGGAGAUACGAGAAGAUGAAGGAGGUCUUGGAGGGCUUCCGCAAGAAUGAAGAGGUGCUGAAGAAGUGUGCACAAGAGUACCUGUCACGAGUAAAGAAGGAGGAACAGAGGUACCAGGCGCUGAAGGUCCAUGCGGAGGAGAAGCUGGACAGGGCCAACGCCGAGAUCGCCCAAGUCCGGGGCAAGGCCCAGCAGGAACAGGCUGCCUACCAGGCCAGCCUACGGAAGGAGCAACUGCGAGUGGACGCUCUGGAGAGAACGCUGGAGCAGAAGAAUAAAGAGAUCGAAGAACUCACCAAGAUUUGUGAUGAACUGAUUGCCAAAAUGGGGAAAAGCUAACUCUGAACCAAAUGUUUGGACUCGACCGUUGCGUGCAAUAUGACCGUCGCACACUGCUGUCCCUCCGGUUAUGUGGACAGGCUCUGUUUUCACUUUU
rnacentral:lncRNA from 1 species